UAAUAUAUGAUUGCCAAUUUGAUUUACGGCUACACGCAAAAUAAAUAAAUUAGGUCCAAGAGGGAUAUAAUUUGUCUACCUGGGAGAAGUGACGAGUCAGCAUUAGUGUCACAGGCCAAGAUCACCCAACAACUCAUUUAAUGAGCUUCGUGGUAGCUGUUGCCUAACUUCCAAGUGAAAGCGAUUCAAGUCACCUUUUAAAGCUCCACAUUACUUGAAAAUAUUGUCACGAAAUCAUUUAAAACUACUAGCUACCAUGGUACAUAUUCCAAAACUAUAAAAAAGUUCAGAGGCUUCACAGAGACACCUUCAGCCGAACAAGACAACAUGACAUUUUACCAGCUGAUUCCCUCAAAACAUUUAGACUUUUCUAAGGGCGAUUAGGCCAUCAAUAUCCGUAAAUUGGUAUUCACCGACACAACACAAUCUCAGUUAUUAGGAUCAAAUUAUUAUCAUCUACAUAAUGAACGAGUGUUCGCAUCGAGGGUAAAUAAAUAAACCGGGGGUCUAGCAUAGAUGUAGGUAGGUUAAUUCCCAAUAUUUCAAUUGUCAUAGUUGGAUUCCAAAGUUCUGCUUUUCAUUAAAAGUAAACAUAUUCAUCAAAUUCAUCGUCAAAUUAGAUCAAACUGGACGCACAGUUAAUGACUUGACGCAUUCUACUGCUGCAACACAAACGAGAAGUACGCAUAUUACUUAUGCGGUGGUUAUACUGUGAUUCCUUAGGUGACAUUAUUACCAGUUCAAAAGGGGAAUUCGAUUGAAAGAAUAAAGCAAACUAUGUGCUGGAAAUGUGUG
rnacentral:lncRNA from 1 species